rnacentral:rRNA from 1 species
GACAGAGGGUGCGAGCGUUAAUCGGAAUUACUGGGCGUAAAGCGUACGUAGGUGGUUGAGUCAGUCGGAUGUGAAAGCCCAAGGCUUAACCUUGGAAUUGCAUUCGAUACUGCUCGGCUAGAGUAUAGUAGAGGGAAGCGGAAUUUCUAGUGUAGCGGUGAAAUGCGUAGAUAUUAGAAAGAACACCAGUGGCGAAGGCGGCUUCCUGGACUAAUACUGACACUGAGGUACGAAAGCGUGGGGAGCAAACAGG